AUACGGAGGGUGCGAGCGUUAAACGGAAUUACUGGGCGUAAAGGGUGCGUAGGCGGCUUGAUAAGUCGGAUGUGAAAGCCCCGGGCUUAACCUGGGAAUUGCAUUCGAUACUGUCAGGCUAGAGUAUGUCAGAGGUUGGCGGAAUUCCUGGUGUAGCGGUGAAAUGCGUAGAUAUCAGGAGGAACACCAGUGGCGAAGGCGGCUAACUGGGGCAAUACUGACGCUGAGGCACGAAAGCGUGGGGAGCAAACAGGAUUAGAAACCCUAGUAGUCC
rnacentral:rRNA from 1 species